AUUAGCUAGUUGGUGGGGUAAAGGCCUACCAAGGCGACGAUCUGUAGCGGGUCUGAGAGGAUGAUCCGCCACACUGGGACUGAGACACGGCCCAGACUCCUACGGGAGGCAGCAGUGGGGAAUAUUGGACAAUGGGCGCAAGCCUGAUCCAGCCAUGCCGCGUGUGUGAAGAAGGCCUUAUGGUUGUAAACGGCUAACUCUGUGCCAGCAGCCGCGGUAAUACAGAGGGUGCAAGCGUUAAUCGGAUUUACUGGGCGUAAAGCGCGCGUAGGCGGCUAAUUAAGUCAAAUGUGAAAUCCCCGAGCUUAACUUGGGAAUUGCGUUCGAUACUGGUUAGCUAGAGUGUGGGAGAGGAUGGUAGGAUUCCAGGUGUAGCGGUGAAAUGCGUAGAGAUCUGGAGGAAUACCGAUGGCGAAGGCAGCCAUCUGGCCUAACACUGACGCUGAGGUGCGAAAGCAUGGGGAGCAAACAGGAUUAGAUACCCUGGUAGUCCAUGCCGUAAACGAUGUCUACUAGCCGUUGGGGCCUUUGAGGCUUUAGUGGCGCAGCUAACGCGAUAAGUAGACCGCCUGGGGAGUACGGUCGCAAG
rnacentral:rRNA from 1 species